rnacentral:rRNA from 2 species
AGCUGCGAUCAUACCAGCACUGAUGCACCGGAUCCCAUCAGAACUCCGCAGUUAAGCGUGCUUGGGCGAGAGUAGUACUAGGAUGGGUGACCUCCAAUGGGUGACCUCCUGGAAAGUCCUCGUGUUGCACCUC